rnacentral:tRNA from 1 species
GGAGAUUUAGCUCAGCGGUAGAGCGCUUGCCUAGCAAGCACAAGGCCCUGGGUUCGGUCCCCAGCUCUG